rnacentral:lncRNA from 1 species
UUUGGACUUGGGUCUCUCUCAUUUGAGCCCACAAAACCAUGAAAUUCAGUCUAUAAAUACCAAGGCUUCACUUGAGAAAAAAGGAAGAGAAGCAAAAUACUAUGAGGUUUCCUUGGAACAAAACCCUGAGGAAAAAGAUAGUGAGAGAAGAGCUAACAGAGUUCAGAUCAGCCUCCAAACCCUGAAGGGAACUCAACUGCACAUAAUCACCUUUGCCUCACGGGUGCAACUCAAUUUCAA